rnacentral:rRNA from 1 species
CCCCCCCACGCCGGAAGACCAAGGUUUCCUGUCCCAUGCUAAUCAGGGCAGGGUAAGUCGGCCCCUAAGGCGAGGCAGAAAUGCGUAGUCGAUGGGAAACGGGUUAAUAUUCCCGUACUUUUAUGUACAGUGAUGGGGUGACGGAGAAGGCUAUGCUAUCGUGGCGUUGGUUGUCCACGUGAAAGUAGGUAGGCUGAGUGUUUAGGUAAAUCCGGACACUCUUAAGGCCGAGAUACGAGACGAGUUUCUACGGAAACGAAGUAGCAGAUGCCCGGCUUCCAGGAAAAUCCUCUAAGCGUAUGUACAUAAGAACCGUACCCCAAACCGACACAGGUGGUCAGGUAGAGAAUACUAAGGCGCUUGAGAGAACUCGGGUGAAGGAACUCGGCAAAAUAGUACCGUAACUUCGGGAGAAGGUACGCCCCUGGUUGUGAAUCCCUUGCGGAGUAAGCAACUGGGGGCCGCAGUGACCAGAUGGCUGGGACUGUUUAUUAAAAACACAGCACUGUGCUAAAUCGAAAGAUGACGUAUACGGUGUGACACCUGCCCGGUGCCGGAAGGUUAAUUGAUGGGGUUAGCGUAAGCGAAGCUCUUGAUCGAAGCCCCGGUAAACGGCGGCCGU